AUUGCUUCUUGGCCUUUCGGCCUAGGUCAAGUGUAGUAUGUGCUCUUUACAGUUUAGUAUCUGAAAUGCUGUCUGUUUGAGGAUGCAAUAUUAAGUGGACAUUUGGUACAAGGAGGUGGACCACGGAGUUGUUCUAUUCCACUCCAUGCAGGCAUCUCGUGUUGCUGCCUGUGGGUUACUGUCAGUUACUGCU